rnacentral:rRNA from 1 species
AUUGAACGCUGGCGGCAGGCCUAACACAUGCAAGUCGAGCGGGGUUUUCGGACCUAGCGGCGGACGGGUGAGUAAUGCGUAGGAAGCUACCCGAUAGAGGGGGAUACCAGUUGGAAACGACUGUUAAUACCGCAUAAUGUCUACGGACCAGAGUGUGGGACCUUCGGGCCACAUGCUAUCGGAUGCGCCUACGUGGGAUUAGCUAGUUGGUGAGGUAAUGGCUCACCAAGGCGACGAUCCCUAGCUGGUUUGAGAGGAUGAUCAGCCACACUGGAACUGAGACACGGUCCAGACUCCUACGGGAGGCAGCAGUGGGGAAUAUUGGACAAUGGGCGCAAGCCUGAUCCAGCCAUGCCGCGUGUGUGAAGAAGGCCUUCGGGUUGUAAAGCACUUUCAGUAGGGAGGAAGCGUUGUGUGUUAAUAGUACACAGCGUUGACGUUACCUACAGAAGAAGCACCGGCUAACUCUGUGCCAGCAGCCGCCGUAAGAC